rnacentral:rRNA from 1 species
AUUGAACGCUGGCGGCAGGCCUAACACAUGCAAGUCGAACGAGUGGCGGACGGGUGAGUAAUGUCUGGGAAACUGCCUGAUGGAGGGGGAUAACUACUGGACACGGUAGCUAAUACCGCAUACCAUCGGAUGUGCCCAGAUGGGAUUAGCUAGUAGGUGGGGUAACGGCGCACCUGGGCGACGAUCCCUAGCUGGUCUGAGAGGAAGACUGGCCACACUGGAACGGAGCAACGGUCCAGACUCCUACGGGAGGCAGCAGGGGGGAAUAUUGCACAAUGGGCGCAAGCCUGAUGCAGCCAUGCCGCGUGUAUGAAGAAGGCCUUCGGGUUGUAAAGUACUUUCAGUGGGGAGGCGUUACCCGCAGAAGAAGCACCGGCUAACUCCGUGCCAGCAGCCGCGGUAAUUC